UACGGGGGGGGUAAGCGUUGUUCGGAAUUACUGGGCGUAAAGGGCUCGUAGGCGGCCAACUAAGUCGGACGUGAAAUCCCUCAGCUUAACUGGGGAACUGCGUCCGAUACUGGAUGGCUUGGAUUUGGGAGAGGGAUGCGGAAUUCCAGGUGUAGCGGUGAAAUGCGUAGAUAUCUGGAGGAACACCGGUGGCGAAGGCGGCAUCCUGGACCGAUAUUGACGCUGAUGCGCGAAAGCCAGGGGAGCAAACGGG
rnacentral:rRNA from 1 species